rnacentral:ncRNA from 2 species
AAUGCCGGCCACGUUUGAGGUGCUCUGGCCGCUUUGCGCGGUCGAGUUAAACGGGAACCAGGUUAAGCAACCUCUGAAUAUAAAUCCUGCGACAGGAUUUAUUCAGCGGUUUCUUGAAUGCCUGGGCUGCCCCCGCAACGGUAAGCAGGUGUGGGCGUAUCGAAUAAGGAAUUCUGAACAGGAAGUAUUCCGUAAAACGCUGGGUUGGCAAUUACGUUGCCAACCCAACUGCCAGACGUGGAGACUUUUUCAGAGAACUCUGAUGCCACUGUGAAUGCUCCAAUUCAUGGGAAGGUGAUACGUCAAAUCCUGCGAGCCCGGAUACCGGCCUUGAACGCAAAUGGAAA